rnacentral:rRNA from 1 species
UGGGGAAUAUUGGACAAUGGGCGCAAGCCUGAUCCAGCAAUACCGCGUGUGUGAAGAAGGCCUUAGGGUUGUAAAGCACUUUCAAUGGGGAGGAAAAAGCGUAGGUUAAUACCCUGCGUAUUGACAUUACCCAUACAAGAAGCACCGGCUAACUCCGUGCCAGCAGCCGCGGUAAUACGGAGGGUGCAAGCGUUAAUCGGAAUUACUGGGCGUAAAGCGUGCGUAGGCGGCUUGUUAAGUCAGAUGUGAAAGCCCCGGGCUCAACCUGGGAACUGCAUUUGAAACUGGCGAGCUAGAGUUGAGUAGAGGUAAGUGGAAUUUCAGGUGUAGCGGUGAAAUGCGUAGAUAUCUGAAGGAACACCAGUGGCGAAGGCGACUUACUGGACUCAAACUGACGCUGAGGUACGAAAGCGUGGGUAGCAAACAGG